UACGGAGGGGGCUAGCGUUGUUCGGAAUUACUGGGCGUAAAGCGCACGUAGGCGGCUUUGCAAGUUAGAGGUGAAAGCCCAGGGCUUAACCCUGGAAUUGCCUUUAAAACUGCAUCGCUAGAAUUGUGGAGAGGUAAGUGGAAUUCCGAGUGUAGAGGUGAAAUUCGUAGAUAUUCGGAAGAACACCAGUGGCGAAGGCGACUUACUGGACACGUAUUGACGCUGAGGUGCGAAAGCGUGGGGAUCAAACAGG
rnacentral:rRNA from 1 species